GACGAACGCUGGCGGCGUGCUUAACACAUGCAAGUCGAACGAAAAGGCCUGCAGCUUGCUGCUGUUACUUUAGUGGCGCACGGGUGAGUAACACGUGGGUGAUCUGCCUUUCACUUCGGGAUAAGCUUGGGAAACUGGGUCUAAUACCGGAUAGUACAUCUGUCUACUUUCUGCUGUGGAAAGUUUUUUCGGUGCUAUAUGAGCUCGCGGCCUAUCAGCUUCUUGGUGUGGUAAUGGCCUUCCGAGCCGUCCACGGGUAGCCUGCCUGAGCGGGUUUAAGGCGGCAGUGGGACUGAGAUAAGGCAGAGACUGCUAAGGGAGGGAGAAGGGGGGAAGAUUGCAGGAGGGGCGGAAGCCGGAUGAAGAGGCGCCGCGUAGGGGAUGAAGGCCUUAGGGGUGUAGACUAAUUGCGAAAGGGACGAAGCUUGUGUGAAGGGACCUGAAUAAGAAGGACAGGCUAAAUAAGUG
rnacentral:rRNA from 1 species